rnacentral:rRNA from 1 species
AGACAUGCAAGUCGAACGAGAAGCUCCCUUCGGGGAGUGGAGAGUGGCGCACGGGUGAGUAACACGUGAGCAACCUGCCGGGAAGCCCGGGAUAGCCCUCCGAAAGGAGGAUUAAUACCGGAUGUGGCCACCCUGCGAUUGCGGGGGAAGCUAAAGGAUUAUUCACUUCCCGAGGGGCUCGCGGNCCAUCAGCUUGUUGGUGAGGGUAACGGCCCACCAAGGCGACAACGGGUAGCUGGUCUGAGAGGAUGGUCAGCCACACUGGAACUGAGACACGGUCCAGACACCUACGGGUGGCAGCAGUCGAGAAUCAUUCGCAAUGGGGGAAACCCUGACGAUGCGACGCCGCGUGGAGGAUGAAGGCCUUAGGGUCGUAGACUCCUGUCAAGAGGGAAUAAGCAAGUGAAGGUACCUCUAGAGGAAGGGGCGGCUAAUUCCGUGCCAGCAGCCGCGGUAACACGGAAGCCCCGAGCGUUGUUCGGAUUCAUUGGGCGUAAAGGGUGCGUAGGCGGCGCGGAAAGUCCGGCGUGAAAGGCAGAGGCUCAACCUCUGGACUGCGUUGGAUACUUCCGUGCUUGAGGACUGGAGGGGAGACUGGAAUUCACGGUGUAGCAGUGAAAUGCGUAGAUAUCGUGAGGAAGACCGGUGGCGAAGGCGAGUCUCUGGACGGAUCCUGACGCUGAGGCACGAAGGCUGGGGGAGCGAACAGGAUUAGAUACCCUGGUAGUCCCAGCAGUAAACGAUGUGAGCUUGAUGU